rnacentral:pre_miRNA from 15 species
UAUCUAGCAGAAACAUUUCUGCACAAACCACAAAGUAUACAACUAAACCCAGAGUGUAGAAAUGUUACUGCUACAUU